rnacentral:rRNA from 1 species
GCUGGCGGCACGCCUAACACAUGCAAGUCGAACGAAGUAGCAAUACUUAGUGGCAGACGGGUGAGUAACAUGUAGGUAUCUGCCCUUUGGCCUGGAAUAACACGAGGAAACUUGUGCUAAUACCGGAUAAGUCUUUACGGAGAAAGCUUUAUGCACCAUUGGAUGAGCCUGCACUUGAUUAGUUUGUUGGUGGGGUAAUGGCCUACCAAGACUGUGAUCAAUAGCUGAUUUGAGAGGAUGAUCAGCCACAUUGGGACUGAGACACGGCCCAAACUCCUACGGGAGGCAGCAGUGGGGAAUCUUGCACAAUGGAGGAAACUCUGAUGCAGCGAUGCCGCGUGAGUGAAGAAGGCCUUUGGGUUGUAAAGCUCUUUCGUCGGGGAAGAAAAUGACUGUACCCGAAUAAGAAGGUCCGGCUAACUUCGUGCCAGCAGCCGCGGUAAUACGAAGGGACCUAGCGUAGUUCGGAAUUACUGGGCUUAAAGAGUUCGUAGGUGGUUGAAAAAGUUGGUGGUGAAAUCCCAGAGCUUAACUCUGGAACUGCCAUCAAAACUUUUCAGCUAGAGUAUGAUAGAGGAAAGCAGAAUUUCUAGUGUAGAGGUGAAAUUCGUAGAUAUUAGAAAGAAUACCAAUUGCGAAGGCAGCUUUCUGGAUCAUUACUGACACUGAGGAACGAAAGCAUGGGUAGCGAAGAGGAUUAGAUACCCUCGUAGUCCAUGCCGUAAACGAUGUGUGUUAGACGUUGGAAAUUUAUUUUCAGUGUCGCAGCGAAAGCGAUAAACACACCGCCUGGGGAGUACGACCGCAA